GGGGGCGAUCUGGAUUCGACCGGGCAAGUUGAUGUGCCGGUGGCGUGCCGAGGUUGAUCGGUGGGCCUCGUAAAUAGCCGAUCACACUUUAACUGCUGAACCGCAGUUUUCCCUCGCGGCUUAAUAACCCGUGAGCCGUUCAGUAACCUUCGCCUGAGAGGUUGCUGAUCGGACGCCAAUUCAGGAUCGCGGGUGUUUGAGGGUCGGGGCAACCCGGUCCGCCUCGGUGGCCGCACCUGCUAAAAAAUCUGACCGAUAGUCUUCCGGGAACCCUGCUUGCUGGGGCUCCGGCGGACGAACAUGGGGCGGCCGCAGGGUAGGCCCUAGGCAUAAACAAGCUACGCACGUAGAUGCCGGUAUGUCGGUGCCACGGGACCCGGGUUCAAUUCCCGGCGCCUCCACUC
rnacentral:tmRNA from 1 species